rnacentral:rRNA from 1 species
CUCUACCUACGGGACGCAGCAGUGGGGAAUAUUGCACAAUGGGGGAAACCCUGAUGCAGCGACGCCGCGUGGGUGAAGAAGUAUUUCGGUAUGUAAAGCCCUAUCAGCAGGGAAGAAGAAUGACGGUACCUGACUAAGAAGCCCCGGCUAACUACGUGCCAGCAGCCGCGGUAAUACGUAGGGGGCAAGCGUUAUCCGGAUUUACUGGGUGUAAAGGGAGCGUAGACGGUGCAGCAAGUCUGAUGUGAAAGGUCGGGGCCCAACCCCGGGACUGCAUUGGAAACUGUUGAACUGGAGUACAGGAG